rnacentral:rRNA from 1 species
UACGGGGGGAGCAAGCGUUGUUCGGAUUUACUGGGCGUAAAGGGCGCGUAGGCGGCCAGCACAAGUCAGUUGUGAAAUCUCCGAGCUUAACUCGGAAAGGUCAACUGAUACUGUGCGGCUAGAGUGCGGAAGGGGCAACUGGAAUUCUUGGUGUAGCGGUGAAAUGCGUAGAUAUCAAGAGGAACACCUGCGGCGAAGGCGGGUUGCGUGGGCCGACACUGACGCUGAGGCGCGAAAGCCAGGGGAGCGAACGGGG